rnacentral:miRNA from 1 species
ACAGGAGGAUGUCAGGAAGCUU